AGCGCAGGCGGUUUUUUUAAGUCUGAUGUGAAAGCCUUCGGCUUAACCGAAGAAGUGCAUCGGAAACUGGGAAACUUGAGUGCAGAAGAGGACAGUGGAACUCCAUGUGUAGCGGUGAAAUGCGUAGAUAUAUGGAAGAACACCAGUGGCGAAGGCGGCUGUCUGGUCUGUAACUGACGCUGAGGCUCGAAAGCAUGGGUAGCGAACA
rnacentral:rRNA from 1 species